rnacentral:sRNA from 1 species
ACCAGCCAGACCUUGUUACAUGCAUUAAGGAAAACAGAGCAAUUACCAACCCGACCUUGGUACACGCAUUGAGGCCACACAGCUAUCACCAACCAGACCUUGGUUCGAACAUUGAGGGACACACAGCAAUCACCAACCAGACCUUGGUACACGCAUUGAGGGACAUACAGCAAUCACCAACCAGACCUUUUUGCACGCAUUGAGGGACACACAGCUGCCGCCAACCAGACCUUGGUACACGCAUUUAGGGACGCACAGCAAUCACCAACCAGACCUUGGUACACGCAUUCAGGGACAUAAAACAAUCACUAACCAGACCUUGGUACACACAUUGAGGGACACAAAGCUACCGUCAACUAGACCUUUGUACACGCAUUUAGGGACACACAGCAAUCACCAACCAGACCUUGGUACACGCAUUGAGGGACAUACAGCAAUCACCAACCAGACCUUGUUACACGCAUUGAGGAAAACACAGCAAUUACCAACCAGACCUUGGUACAUGCAUUGAGGGACAAAGAGCAAUCACCAACCAGACCUUGGUACACGCAUU